rnacentral:rRNA from 1 species
AACGAACGCUGGCGGCAUGCCUAACACAUGCAAGUCGAACGAGACCUUCGGGUCUAGUGGCGCACGGGUGCGUAACGCGUGGGAACCUGCCCUUAGGUUCGGAAUAACUCCCCGAAAGGGGUGCUAAUACCGGAUAAUGUCUUCGGACCAAAGAUUUAUCGCCUUUGGAUGGGCCCGCGUUGGAUUAGCUAGUUGGUAGGGUAAAAGCCUACCAAGGCGACGAUCCAUAGCUGGUCUGAGGGGAUGAUCAGCCACACUGGGACUGAGACACGGCCCAGACUCCUACGGGAGGCAGCAGUGGGGAGUAUUGGACAAUGGGCGAAAGCCUGAUCCAGCAAUGCCGCGUGAGUGAUGAAGGCCUUAGGGUUGUAAAGCUCUUUUACCCGGGAUGAUAAUGACAGUACCGGGAGAAUAAGCUCCGGCUAACUCCGUG